AAGGAUUUAAGUUAAGGGAAAAACUAACAACCUUCAAAGUUGUAAAUAGAGAAAGGCUCUAAGCCUUG
rnacentral:tRNA from 1 species